UUAUUCGGAAUUAUUGGGCGUAAAGGGCGCGUAGGCUGCCUGGCAAGUGACGGGUGAAAGCCCUCGGCUUAACCGAGGAACUGCCUGUCAGACUGUUAGGCUUGAGACCGGGAGAGGUGAGUGGAAUUCCCAGUGUAGCGGUGAAAUGCGUAGAUAUUGGGAGGAACACCAGUGGCGAAGGCGGCUCACUGGACCGGUACUGACGCUGAGGCGCGAAAGCGUGGGGAGCAAACAGG
rnacentral:rRNA from 1 species